rnacentral:rRNA from 1 species
CGCGAAUUCACUAGUGAUUACUCCUACGGGAGGCAGCAGUGGGGAAUAUUGGACAAUGGGGGGGAACCCUGAUCCAGCCAUGCCGCGUGUGUGAAGAAGGCCUUAUGGUUGUAAAGCACUUUAAGCGAGGAGGAGGCUACUGAGACUAAUACUCUUGGAUAGUGGACGUUACUCGCAGAAUAAGCACCGGCUAACUCUGUGCCAGCAGCCGCGGUAAUACAGAGGGUGCGAGCGUUAAUCGGAUUUACUGGGCGUAAAGCGUGCGUAGGCGGCUUUUUAAGUCGGAUGUGAAAUCCCCGAGCUUAACUUGGGAAUUGCAUUCGAUACUGGGAAGCUAGAGUAUGGGAGAGGAUGGUAGAAUUCCAGGUGUAGCGGUGAAAUGCGUAGAGAUCUGGAGGAAUACCGAUGGCGAAGGCAGCCAUCUGGCCUAAUACUGACGCUGAGGUACGAAAGCAUGGGGAGCAAACAGGAUUAGAUACCCUGGUAGUCCAUGCCGUAAACGAUGUCUACUAGCCGUUGGGGCCUUUGAGGCUUUAGUGGCGCAGCUAACGCGAUAAGUAGACCGCCUGGGGAGUACGGUCGCAAGACUAAAACUCAAAUGAAUUGACGGGGGCCCCCACAAGCGGUGGAGCAUGUGGA